rnacentral:rRNA from 1 species
AGAGUUUGAUCCUGGCUCAGGAUGAACGCUGGCGGCGUGCCUAACCUAUGCAAGUCGAACGAGGCUUCGAGCCGAGUGGCGGACGAGUGAGUAACACGUACCUAACCUGCCCGUAAGUGGGGAAUAAUCCCGAGAAAUCGGGACUAAUACCGCAUGUGUCCUGGUGUUAAAACCAGGGUAAAGCUUUUGCGCUUACGGAUGGGGGUGCGUCCUAUCAGCUAGUUGGUAAGGUAAUGGCUUACCAAGGCUAUGACGGGUAGCUGGUCUGAGAGGAUGAUCAGCCACGCUGGGACUGAGAUACGGCCCAGACUCCUACGGGAGGCAGCAAGUGGGAAUAUUGCACAAUGGGCGAAAGCCUGAUGCAGCGACGCCGCGUGAGGGAUGAAGGUCUUCGGAUCGUAAACCUCUUUUAUCGGGGAGGAAGAUAUGACGUUACCCGAUGAAAAAGCACCUGCUAACUACGUGCCAGCCGCCGCGGUAAUUC